UUGUGUAUGAUUAAACUAAAGAUAAAUAUUGUUGAAUUCAACAAUCGUUUAGCUGUUGAUUCAAAAAGAUUUUAUUGUUGUUUCUACUGGAAUACCUAGUUGGAAUAACAAUAAAUAUUUUUAUUUUAACAAUAUUUCGUUUUGUUCCAAAUAUGCUUAAAUGUCAAGCGGUGUGUUCUUUUUUAUGUGUAAAACUCGAUCAUAACAAUUUAAAAAUGUAUUUUGUUGAACUAGGUGAUACCUCUCAUUUCUGGAGUAUUCCGGCUCGUUAUCGAUUAAAACAUAUCACUAUAGAACAACGGAAUGGCGGGCGCUGGUCAAUCUUUCAUCGUCAGCAUGGUUUGCUUGGUUCCACCUUCAACAAAUUUAGCAACAAACAUGGGAAAAUCAGAGCUUGCUCUCAAUCAGCAUUGCCAUUGGAAGCAGAUUUUUUAUUAACAAUAAGUAAUUAUGUGAAUAAUUGGGUGAUGAAAAAAUAAAUAAAAUAUCAACC